rnacentral:rRNA from 1 species
AGAGUUUGAUCCUGGCUCAGGAUAAACGCUGGCGGCGUGCCUAACACAUGCAAGUCGAACGCCCUGCUCGCAAGGGUAGGGAGUGGCGGACGGGUGAGGAACACGUGGGUUAUCUACCUUUCGGUGAGGAAUACCGGCGAGAAAUCGCCGACAAAACCGCAUAGCCUCGGCAACGAGGAAAGUCGCAAGACGCCGAGAGA